CUUCUCUAUGCGCCUCGAACACAUUAGUCAUGUGGAGUUGGCGCAUUACAAAUACGCUAUAUUAUGUAGCUUUAGCGCUGGAAAUACUGUUUGUUUCAUGCAUUUAUACUUUGUUUGAUAACCAUAAAAUAUAGGUUAUCGUUUUUCCUGAAAUAUAUUUUUCAUACCUUAAAAAUUAAUUAAAACGAAUGAAUUUAAGUUACUGGAACACUGCCAAACGCUAAUCAAAUUGGCAGCAUCUAUGACCUGCAUAUUUUUUUUAAAUGGUGGACUGCAUGGAUGGAUUAUAUUUUCGUUGAUAUGCAGGCAUUGUAACAGAUGUAGAAUCUUCUGCCAAGAAACUUAAAGACAUCUCUACGAACUGCGUAGCUGUGCCGACACACUCCAGGCACUAUGAUCAUAAACAAUCAGAUUGCAAAUUUGUACCGACGGAGCUUUGACAAUGUGUUUUCGAGUGAAGAUGUUCAGACUGCAUUCCUGUUUGCUUUAUAUCUUUUACACCUGGAGCAUUUGGACUCUGACUUCGACAACUGUAAAAUGCAUAAAUAUUACAGUGGAUUGCGCAAAGAGCAUCACACUCACAUCCCCGAACUAUCCUUCGCUUUACCCCAAUGAUGCAUUUGAGGAGUGGUCCAUCACAGCACCUCUUCAGAGGAGGAUCCUCGUCACUUUUAAUGACUUUAGCCUGGUAUCUCCAAAUGAUUUUAUUUACAUUCAAAACAGGGAUGAUAUAAAGCAAUACACAGGCUUGAAUAAGGAAUUUUCUCCUUAUCUGACGUCAGGACACACUCUUCAUAUUGAGUUCACCUCAUCUCGAAGUGGCAGAAGGAAAGGAUUCAAUAUUACAGUCUCCUGUACCGAUC